rnacentral:rRNA from 1 species
GUGGGGAAUAUUGGACAAUGGACCAAGAGUCUGAUCCAGCAAUUCUGUGUGCACGAUGAAGUUUUUCGGAAUGUAAAGUGCUUUCAGUUGGGAAGAAGAAAGUGACGGUACCAACAGAAGAAGCGACGGCUAAAUACGUGCCAGCAGCCGCGGUAAUACGUAUGUCGCAAGCGUUAUCCGGAUUUAUUGGGCGUAAAGCGCGUCUAGGUGGUUGCAUAAGUCUGAUGUGAAAAUGCGGGGCUCAACUCCGUAUUGCGUUGGAAACUGUGCGACUAGAGUACUGGAGAGGUAAGCGGAACUACAAGUGUAGAGGUGAAAUUCGUAGAUAUUUGUAGGAAUGCCGAUGGGGAAGCCAGCUUACUGGACAGAUACUGACGCUAAAGCGCGAAAGCGUGGGUAGCAAACAGGAUUAGAAACCCGGGUAGUCC